GACGAACGCUGGCGGCGUGCCUAAUACAUGCAAGUCGAGCGCAGGAAACUGACGGAACUCUUCGGAGGGAAGGCAGUGGAAUGAGCGGCGGACGGGUAAGUAACACGUAAGGAACCUGCCUCAAGGAUUGGGAUAACUCCGAGAAAUCGGAGCUAAUACCGGAUAGUUCAACGGACCGCAUGGUCCGCUGAGGAAAGGCGCUCCGGCGUCGCCAGUGGAUGGCUUUGCGGUGCAUUAGCUAGUUGGUGGGGUAACGGCCCACCAAGGCGACGAUGCAUAGCCGACCUGAGAGGGUGAUCGGCCACACUGGGACUGAGACACGGCCCAGACUCCUACGGGAGGCAGCAGUAGGGAAUCUUCCACAAUGGACGAAAGUCUGAUGGAGCAACGCCGCGUGAACGAUGAAGGCCCUCGGGUCGUAAAGUUCUGUUGUAAGGGAAGAACAAGUGCCGCAGGCAAUGGCGGCACCUUGACGGUACCUUGCGAGAAAGCCACGGCUAACUACGUGCCAGCAGCCGCCGUAACAC
rnacentral:rRNA from 1 species